AUUGAACGCUGGCGGCAGGCCUAACACAUGCAAGUCGAGCGAGUGGUGGACGGGUGAGUAAUGUCUGGGAAACUGCCCGAUGGCGGGGGGUAACUACUGGAAAAGGUAGCUAAUACCGCAUACCAUCGGAUGUGCCCAGAUGGGAUGCGCUAGUAGGUGGGGUAACGGCACACCUAGGCGACGCUCCCUAGCUGGUCUGAGAGGAUGACCGGCCACACUGGGACGGAGACACAGUCCAGACUACUACGGGAGGCAGCAGGGGGGAAUAUAGCACAAUGGGUGCAAGCCUGAUGCAGCCAUGCCGCGUGUAUGAAGAAAGCCUUCGGGUAGUAAAGUACUUUCAGCUAGGAGGCGUUACUCGCAGAAGAAGCACCGGCUAACUCCGUGCCAGCAGCCGCGGUAAUAC
rnacentral:rRNA from 1 species